rnacentral:rRNA from 1 species
AACCAACGCUGGCGGCGUGCCUAAUACAUGCAAGUCGAACGGGGUAGCAAUACCUAGUGGCGCACGGGUGAGGAACGCGUGGAUAAUCUGCCUUAGAGUGGGGGAUAACUAGUCGAAAGAUUAGCUAAUACCGCAUAAGACCACAGGAGCUGCGGCUCUAGGGGUCAAAGGUUUUUCGCUCUAAGAUGAGUCCGCGUAAGAUUAGCUAGUUGGUGAGGUAACGGCUCACCAAGGCGACGAUCUUUAACUGGUCUGAGAGGAUGAUCAGUCACACUGGAACUGAGACACGGUCCAGACUCCUACGGGAGGCAGCAGUAGGGAAUAUUGCACAGUGGAGGAAACUCUGAUGCAGCGACGCCGCGUGAGUGAUGAAGGCCUUCGGGUCGUAAAGCUCUGUCGCAGGGGAAUAACACAAUGAAGGUACCCUGUAAGAAAGGAUCGGCUAACUUCGUGCCAGCAGCCGCGGUAACAC